rnacentral:tRNA from 1 species
GCCCGGGUGGCUCAGUCGGUUGAGCGUCGGACUUCGGCUCAGGUCAGGAUCUCGCAGUUUGUGAGUUCGAGCCCCGCCUCGGGCU